rnacentral:rRNA from 1 species
UGGGGAAUAUUGCACAAUGGGCGCAAGCCUGAUGCAGCCAUGCCGCGUGUGUGAAGAAGGCCUUCGGGUUGUAAAGCACUUUCAGCAGUGAGGAAGGGUGUGUAUUUAAUAGAUGCACAUUUUGACGUUAGCUGCAGAAGAAGCACCGGCUAACUCCGUGCCAGCAGCCGCGGUAAUACGGAGGGUGCGAGCGUUAAUCGGAAUUACUGGGCGUAAAGCGCAUGCAGGUGGUUUGUUAAGUCAGAUGUGAAAGCCCGGGGCUCAACCUCGGAACUGCAUUUGAAACUGGCAGGCUAGAGUACUGUAGAGGGGGGUAGAAUUUCAGGUGUAGCGGUGAAAUGCGUAGAGAUCUGAAGGAAUACCGGUGGCGAAGGCGGCCCCCUGGACAGAUACUGACACUCAGAUGCGAAAGCGUGGGGAGCAAACAGGAUUAGAUACCCUGGUAGUCCACGCCGUAA